AACGAACGCUGGCGGCGUGCCUAACACAUGCAAGUCGUGCGAGAAAGUUCCUUCGGGAGCGAGUAAAGCGGCGCACGGGUGAGUAACACGUAGGUAACCUGCCCCCCAGUCUGGAACAACUAGAGGAAACUCUAGCUAAUGCCGGAUGAGACCACGAUCCCUUCGGGGGUUGCGGCCAAAGAUGGCCUCUACUUGUAAGCUAUCGCUGAGGGAUGGGCCUGCGGGCCAUUAGCUUGUUGGUGAGGUAACGGCUCACCAAGGCUGUGAUGGCUAGCUGGUCUGAGAGGAUGACCAGCCACACUGGGACUGAGACACGGCCCAGACUCCUAGGGAGCAGCAGUGGGAAU
rnacentral:rRNA from 1 species